UCCCUCUCAGGGUCGCACCUGGAGAGUUUCCGGGACUCUACCAGUCUCGGCUACGGGAGGGAGAGUCAAGCAGAGACCGACCCAUUCCACUCCUAGCUUGGCCAGUGGCUACUGAGUGGAAUGUCAUCUGCUACAAGU